UACGGGGGGGGCAAGCGUUGUUCGGAAUUACUGGGCGUAAAGGGCUCGUAGGCGGCCAACUAAGUCGGACGUGAAAUCCCUCGGCUUAACCGGGGAACUGCGUCCGAUACUGGAUGGCUUGAGUUCGGGAGAGGGAUGCGGAAUUCCAGGUGUAGCGGUGAAAUGCGUAGAUAUCUGGAGGAACACCGGUGGCGAAGGCGGCAUCCUGGACCGACACUGACGCUGAGGAGCGAAAGCGUGGGGAGCGAACAGG
rnacentral:rRNA from 1 species